rnacentral:tRNA from 1 species
GCAGGUUUCGUCUAGCAGCAAGACGCCCGGCAACCAGCCGGGAAACGGCGGUGCAACUCCGACCAGCCUGCUCCA